CUUCUCCCCUCCUCUUCUCUCUCUCCCCCCUCUCCCCAGGAUCUGCUGCAGGCCAUGGAGGAGAGCUAUGAGGUGGACCUGGUGUACAUCACCGAGAGGAUCAUCUCUGUCUCCUUCCCCAGCGGAGCGGAGGAGCGCAGCUACACCUCCAACAUCAAGGAGGUGGCCUCCAUGCUGGCCUCCAAACACGGGGAACACUAUCUGCUCCUCAACCUAAGUGAGCGGAGGAAUGACAUCACCAAGCUUAACCACAAGGUGCUGGAGUUUGGCUGGCCAGACCAUUAUGCUCCGGCCCUGGAUAAGAUCUGCAGCAUGUGCAAGGCCAUGGACACCUGGCUCAACGCUGACCAACACAAUGUAGUGGUGCUUCACAACAAGGGGAACCGUGGGAGGACUGGAGUGGUGGUGGCUGCCUACAUGCAUUACAGCAACAUAUCAGCCAGUGCUGACCAGGCACUGGACAGGUUCGCCAUGAGGCGCUUCUACGAAGACAAAGCACUUCCUGUGGGUCAACCGUCCCAGAGAAGGUAUGUACGUUACUUCAGUGGUCUGCUCUCUGGCCACAUCAAGAUUAACAACAAGCCUCUGUUCCUGCACCACGUCAUCAUGCACGGCAUCCCCAACUUCGAGUCCAAAGGAGGUGAGUCUGCAGCAGGAUAUAACGUCCAAGGGGACAGUCACACCAGUAUCUGCAUCACCAUUGAACCUGGCCUGCUCCUAAAGGGAGACAUUUUGUUGAAGUGUUACCACAAGCGUUUCCGGAGCCCCAUUAGGGAUGUGGUAUUCAGAGUGCAGUUCCACACCUGUGCCAUCCACGACCUGGGAGUAGUCUUCGGGAAGAAUGAACUGGAUCAGACUUUUAAAGAUGAGAGAUUUCCAGAAUAUGGGAAAGUGGAAUUUGUCUUCUCCUUCGGUCCUGAGAAAAUCAAAGGAAUGGGCCACCUUGAGAAUGGCCCACAAGUGUCGGUGGACUACAAUACCCAAGACCCCCUCAUCCGCUGGGACUCCUACGAGAACUUCAACAGGGGCUGCGAGGAUACAGGAGAUGACGUUGUUCACACCCAAGGCCCCCUCGACGGCAGCCUGUAUGCCCGAAUCCACAAGAAAGAGUCCCUCGAUGGAGUGGUCACAAUCAACGACCACACCCCCCAACACCCUGACCACACCCUCCCAAGUUCUGACCGCACCCUCCCGGUAGUGGGCCACGCCUCCCUGCCCGCGGUUGACCACGCCCUGUCGGUCAGCAGCGACUCUGGGAACUCGACAGCAUCCGUCAAAACCGAUCGCACCGAUGACCACAGUCUGUUGCUGCAUGGAGCGGUGAAUACCAACCAGAACCACAACACGCCCAGUCAUCCCCCUCUCAGUCCCCAGGAGAAGAGAGAGUUGGACCAGCUUCUGAGUGGCCUUGAGGCCCCCAUGCUCCACCGCCAGGCUUACCUGGCUACCUCCACCAGCCCCGGGGGGGGAGUUCGCCACCUUGUCCCAGCCCAGGUGCACGUCAGCGGGCAUACCCGGCUCAUUGCAGCCCCCUCCGCCGAAGAGCGCGAGACGGACAUCUUGGACGACGAGCUGCACAUCAGUCAGGAGGGUAACAGCGUGGACAGUCUGGGAACACUGUCGUCAUUGGAGGGCCAGGCCACGCCCGCAGAGCUGUACUACCAAUCACAGAUACCCAUCAACAGGCAGAACGACGGGCCAUACCUAGAGAAGCUACGGGAGAUGCCGGUGCACCGGGUACGGACUUCUACGUCGGCACAGGAGCGGAUCAUGGACUCCAGUUCGCCCCAGGAAGAGGAGUACUCUCCUAACAGUUACCAGAACGGGAGUAUGCAGCGUUCCCAGUCCUUCGGGACCCCCGAGCCUGGAGGCCCCAAGCUGCCCAGGGCCCCUGAGAGGAGCACCAGUAGCAGGGAGGCAGUCCAGAGGGGGCUGAACGCAUGGCACCAGUACAGUCUGCCAGACGACCCGUUCGGUCCUCCCUUACAGAGCACCCACAGUCUGCCCCACUUCCCCCCCACCGCCUCUCAGCACGACAUAGAGCAGUCGAUCGAAGCCCUCGACAUGCUGAUGCUGGAUCUGGACCCACACACAGGACAGGUGCCCAAGUCCUACAGCGCCCCCUCUGGUGAGAACAGUGUAGGAGGGCCAGCCCAGAUCCCCUUCUCCCAAUCUCUGGCCAGGCCGUCCUACCAGGCGGACUCAGCCAUCCACGGCUAUAACAUUAACUACAAUGCCUUCGGACAGCCUCUGAGGUCGAUGGCUGGCCGGGUUUCAACAUCGCCCGUCCAGAGUCCUGUGGCUGAGUCUCCCCUGUCGUACCCCCCCCCGAGGUCCGCCUCGUACCAGCCCCACACCAACACCACUCCCAUACACCCCCCCGAGCCCUACCACACGCGCCCAGCCCAGGGGCCUGGUUCCCCCCUCUACCCCUCUGACUUCGGACAGCUCCAGAUGAAGCCCCUGAACUCGUACCCAGGUGGGACGGUGGUGUCCCGCUCCCCAGACCGCAAGGGAGGGUCUCCCUAUCAUGGCUACAGCACCUCCUCCUCCCCCCUCCCCAACUCUUCCCCCCUUCUCAAGGAGCCAGAACCUGAGGAGGAGAACCUCAACCUGGAGGGCCUGGUGGCUCAACGCAUCGCUGGGAUGCGUUCCCGUGGGAUGAUGCCGGAGGAGGCUCAGGAGACCGUCCGCCGUCGGACCACUAGCGAGGGGCACUACCAGAGUUUCAAUGAGGACCCUCCAGCCCACACGGGGGCGCCGGUGCGCUCCCCUGUCCACUCGUCAGACUUCCACAUCCUCAACCCUGGAGGAAGACCCAGAGAGGGCCCCAUGCACAGCUACCGCGAGGCGUAUGGGGAUGAUGAUGCUGACGGUCGGGCUGCUGUCAGUCCUAUGUUCAGCAGUGGUGGUGAGGCCCACCCCUUGACCCCUACCUUCCCUGUCUCACCUCAGACCCCUUACUUCAACAUGUCCCGUUCUCCUCCAGGCUUGGCCAAAACCCCUCUCUCUGCUUUAGGACUGAAGCCCCACCAUCCAGCAGACAUUCUCCAUGGAGGAUCAGGUCAGAACACACACACGCACGCACACGGCCAUGGUUAUGGUGGACACCCCUUUAAUGAUCCUAUAUCUUCCAGUAGUCCCAUCCACAGGCCAGACGGCAUGAGGAUGACUUCCUCCAUUCGGCUCCAGGCUGACUCCGGCUUCCACUCCCACCCCUUGGAGAGCGCCCAGCACACCCCCGUUCCGUCCUACGGCCCCCACUCCCCUGAGGGAUCCCAGGUCAGCGUCGUGGGCCCCCUCCACACCGUCCCCGGAAGCCCCAACACACUCCACCGCACGGUGGCCACCAACACCCCACCAAGCCCCGCCCUCCAGUGCCGCCUGGCCAACCAGGCCAGCCCGGGUCUGGCUCGUCACCCCACACCGCCCAAUGGUAACAGGGUGCAAGUCCCCGGCAGCCCUGUGAUCCCCGCAAGAGGCUCCAGAACCGCCGCCGUCCCUGCUAGCCCUUUGAUGGGGCGCCACCCGAUGGCCAGUAGCCACACUACGCCCGAUGACAGACAGGGGGCACCACUCACGCCCUCCUUCCCAGUGUCACCCCAGCCGAUGCUUCCAGAGAAGAGGCGGAUGCCCAGUGGAGAGAGGUCCAAUGGGGGGCUGUCAUAUGGGACUCUGGAUGGGAAGACCACCACACCCACCUUUCCCAGUGGAGGCAGCACACCCAGUGUUCUCUGCCAUUCAAUCAACCAGAGUCCAGACAUCAGGCUGAAUGUGAAGUUUGUCCAGGACACGUCUAAGUUGUGGUACAAGCCAGACAUCUCCAGAGAGCAGGCCAUCAGUCUGCUGAGAGACAGGGAGCCAGGGGCCUUCAUUAUCAGGGACAGUCACUCCUUCAGAGGGGCCUACGGCCUGGCCAUGAAGGUGGCCUGCCCACCUCCCACCGCCCAGGCCAAUAAGAAAGUUGGUGACAUCACGAGCGAGCUGGUGAGGCACUUCCUGAUUGAGACGAGCCCCAAAGGCGUGCGUCUGAAGGGCUGUCCCAACGAGCCCUACUUUGGAUGUCUGUCUGCCCUGGUGUACCAACACUCGAUGACUCCUCUGGCCCUGCCCUGCAAGCUGAUGAUCCCCAGCAAAGAUCCCAAUGAGGAGGCCCUGGAGCUGGACACUCCCACUGACACAGUGGCCGAGCUGGUGAAACAAGGAGCAGCAUGCAAUGUUCUUUACAUCAGCUCUGUGGACAUGGAGUCUCUGACCGGUCCUCAGGCCGUCGCCAAGGCAAUCAGCGAAACGGUGGCCGUCAACCCGUUGCCCGCGGCAACAACCGUCCACUUCAAAGUGUCGUCGCAGGGCAUCACCCUCACGGAUAGCCAGAGGAAGGUCUUCUUCCGAAGGCACUACCCAAUCAACACUGUCACCUACUGUGACAUUGACCCCCAGGACAGGAAGUGGAGCAAGGAAGGAGGUGGAACGGCGAAACUGUUUGGUUUCGUGGCACGUAAACAAGGGAGCACAACGGACAACGUCAGCCACCUGUUUGCCGAGUUGGACCCCGACCAGCCUGCUUCAGCCAUCGUCAACUUCGUCUCCAAAGUCAUGAAGCGAUGAAACCAACGAACCCCCGACAGCCAUUCUUUUUUAAUUAAAUUUUUUCUUCAUUUUUGAUUGUGUUUCAUUAUUUUCUUCUGUUCUUUUUGUUGAGAUAUGUUCUCUUUGUUUUCUUCUGCGAGAUUUUAUGUUUGAAGGACUUGGAGGUAAUCCAAGAUGGCGUCAGAGGAAGUUGUGGCUGGAGUGGUGACAGUGACAACGUGGCUCGAGCUGGUGGAGGAAGAUGCUUUCUUCCACAGGGUAACUGUGGAAGUCCAAGUGGAGAAGCUGUGUGCUAAACUAAGUAUCAGUGGGAGGAAAGGACACUGACAUGUAUCAGGUUUUCGGAUUGAUUUACCAAAGGUAGCACUCAGAACAAGUAUGUCAUUAUUAGAUGGUCAGUUUAAGGUGUUGUAGAUUUUCUCUUUUUUUUCUUUUUUUUUUACAAUGGGACUGUUGAAAUGAAACAGACAAAAACAAAAAGAAUGCUUUCUUCUUGAACUUUAUUCUGUCUUCAGAAAAAUAGUUUGCCUCAGUGGCUUCUUACUAAAGAAUAUUUAAGAAGACAUUUUGCAUGUUAGCUCGAUCUUUAAGCUUGGUCCACUAAAGUCAUUUGUGAACCCUCGAGUGGACAUUUCCCAGGCCUGUUGUAUGUUGUAAAGGGCUCAACAGCGAGAAAAAUAAACAGUUCUCAACUUCACA
rnacentral:lncRNA from 1 species